rnacentral:rRNA from 1 species
GGGUGACUGCGUACCUUUUGUAUAAUGGGUCAGCGACUUAUAUUCUGUAGCAAGGUUAACCGUAUAGGGGAGCCGCAGGGAAACCGAGUCUUAACUGGGCGUUAAGUUGCAGGGUAUAGACCCGAAACCCGGUGAUCUAGCCAUGGGCAGGUUGAAGGUUGGGUAACACUAACUGGAGGACCGAACCGACUAAUGUUGAAAAAUUAGCGGAUGACUUGUGGCUGGGGGUGAAAGGCCAAUCAAACCGGGAGAUAGCUGGUUCUCCCCGAAAGCUAUUUAGGUAGCGCCUCGUGAAUUCAUCUUCGGGGGUAGAGCACUGUUUCGGCUAGGGGGUCAUCCCGACUUACCAACCCGAUGCAAACUACGAAUACCGAAGAAUGUUAUCACGGGAGACACACGGCGGGUGCUAACGUCCGUCGUGAAGAGGGAAACAACCCAGACCGCCAGCUAAGGUCCCAAAGUCAUGGUUAAGUGGGAAACGAUGUGGGAAGGCCCAGACAGCCAGGAUGUUGGCUUAGAAGCAGCCAUCAUUUAAAGAAAGCGUAAUAGCUCACUGGUCGAGUCGGCCUGCGCGGAAGAUGUAACGGGGCUAAACCAUGCACCGAAGCUGCGGCAGCGACACUAUGUGUUGUUGGGUAGGGGAGCGUUCUGUAAGCCGUUGAAGGUGGCCUGUGAGGGUUGCUGGAGGUAUCAGAAGUGCGAAUGCUGACAUAAGUAACGAUAAUGCGGGUGAAAAACCCGCACGCCGGAAGACCAAGGGUUCCUGUCCAACGUUAAUCGGGGCAGGGUGAGUCGACCCCUAAGGCGAGGCCGAAAGGCGUAGUCGAUGGGAAACAGGUUAAUAUUCCUGUACUCGGUGUUACUGCGAAGGGGGGACGGAGAAGGCUAUGUUGGCCGGGCGACGGUUGUCCCGGUUUAAGCAUGUAGGCGGAUGUUCCAGGUAAAUCCGGAACGUCACUAACGCUGAGGUGUGAUGACGAGGCACUACGGUGCUGAAGUGACAAAUGCCCUGCUUCCAGGAAAAGCCUCUAAGCAUCAGGUAACAUCAAAUCGUACCCCAAACCGACACAGGUGGUCAGGUAGAGAAUACCAAGGCGCUUGAGAGAACUCGGGUGAAGGAACUAGGCAAAAUGGUGCCGUAACUUCGGGAGAAGGCACGCUGAUGGUAGGUGAAG